CGUGAAACCGAAAACUGAAAAAAACCGCACCGAAACCCGAACUGAAGCCGAACAAAACCGCGCCGAAAAAAAACCGAACCGAAAAGGAAAAACCGCACCGAACCGCACUCUGUUCGGUUUGGUUUUCGGUUUCAGCCCGGUAAAAACCGAACCGAACCGAAAACCAAAUUAUUGUUCAUAUAUAUAUGUAAAACGGCGUCGUUUUGUUCAAGUCAGAAACCCUAGGCGCCGCACCAUAAAUAGCUUUCUCACACCUCACACGGUCAUUCCACAGCCGCACGCCUUCCAGUCUUAUCUUCGUCAGUUCCCUUUUCUUUUUCGAUGUUUGAUUCUUCUCUUCAGCGCCUUAAGGCCCUCAACCUUUUGAGACUUGAAACGUUCCGGUAUUCGCUAAUCAACAAUCAGACUUCAGUUCCUCUCUUCCUCAAUCAUAAAUCCACUUUCGAUUUCGAUCCGAUUCUUCUGGGGUGAAUUGCCAAACUCCCUAUCUUGAAUCUGCCUCUUCUAGAAUCACCAUGAGCUCAUGGUCAAGGAUGAGAAGACCCUCCUCAUUGGUGCGAAGCCAGUCGCCGUCUUUGGGCUCAGAAACCUAGAGGAGAUCCCAUGGAGUCGUAUGGUGCUGAUAUUGUCCACUGCAAUGUUAAAAGACGCUGCUGCUCACUUAAAGAUGGAGCUGCUGGGAUUGUUAAUGAUGGGUCUGAGAUGGUGUGCCAAAUGAAAGGCACGGUUGGAUUGAAUGCUCCUCUCAUGAUGCAGGCUUGAACCUUCAAUGGGCAAGAGGCAAGGAGAGAAAGAAUGACUUUGUCGGUAAGGGUACGAUACGCUUGGAAGAACUUGUGAUUUUAAUGCCACAUGCUUUAAGGAAACAACUAGUUGAUGAUUGUGAAUCAGUUACUCAUCUGGGCAAGGCCCAUAUCCAUUCUUGCAGCUUGUUAAACUUCCCCGAACUCUAAAUGUUGAUGACAUACUGAAGAAGUAUCUAGAAUACAGAUCAAACAGCGAUGAUUUGCAACAAGAACCAAUUAUCAAAAUUUUCCAGCUGUUUUAGAGGAUAUAUUUCUAGAUAAUGUUUUUAGCUUUUUCUCUUUUCUUUCCAUAUCGAAAUGGCUCCAAUGGCCUUGAUUUUUUCCAUGUUGAGAAGGCUCCAAUGGCCAUAUUGAGAAGGCUCCAAUGGCCUUGAUUUCUUA